UGGGGAAUAUUGGACAAUGGGCGCAAGCCUGAUCCAGCCAUGCCGCGUGCGUGAUGAAGGCCUUCGGGUUGUAAAGCGCUUUCGCACGUGACGAUGAUGACGGUAGCGUGAGAAGAAGCCCCGGCUAACUUCGUGCCAGCAGCCGCGGUAAUACGAAGGGGGCGAGCGUUGUUCGGAAUCACUGGGCGUAAAGGGCGCGUAGGCGGCGUGUUCAGUCAGAUGUGAAAGCCCCGGGCUCAACCUGGGAACUGCAUUUGAUACUGGCACGCUCGAGUCCGGGAGAGGUGAGUGGAAUUCCCAGUGUAGAGGUGAAAUUCGUAGAGAUUGGGAAGAACACCAGUGGCGAAGGCGGCUCACUGGACCGGUACUGACGCUGAGGCGCGAAAGCGUGGGGAGCAAACAGGAUUAGAUACCCCCGUAGUCC
rnacentral:rRNA from 1 species